rnacentral:rRNA from 1 species
UUUACACUUCGGGGUUGUAGGACUGCGAUAUAGGAUUAAUCAUUAUAGAAGAAUUACCUGGGAAGGUAAGCCAAAGAGAGUAACAGCCUCGUAUUUAAAAUGAUAGAUUAACCUUAGCAGUAUCCUGAGUACGGCGAGACACGCGAAAUCUCGUCGGAAUCUGGGAGGACCAUCUCCCAACCCUAAAUACUCUCUAGUGACCGAUAGUGAACCAGUACCGUGAGGGAAAGGUGAAAAGCACCCCGGGAGGGGAGUGAAAUAGAACCUGAAACCGUGUGCCUACAACAAGUUCGAGCCCGUUAAUGGGUGAGAGCGUGCCUUUUGUAGAAUGAACCGGCGAGUUACGAUAUGAUGCGAGGUUAAGUUGAAGAGACGGAGCCGUAGGGAAACCGAGUCUUAAUAGGGCGUCAUAGUAUCAUGUUGUAGACCCGAAACCAUGUGACCUACCCAUGAGCAGGUUGAAGGUGAGGUAAAACUCACUGGAGGACCGAACCAGGGCACGUUGAAAAGUGCUUGGAUGACUUGUGGGUAGCGGAGAAAUUCCAAACGAACUUGGAGAUAGCUGGUUCUCUCCGAAAUAGCUUUAGGGCUAGCGUCGAUGUUAAGUCUCUUGGAGGUAGAGCACUGUUUGGGUGAGGGGUCCAUCCCGGAUUACCAAUCUCAGAUAAACUCCGAAUGCCAACGAGAUAUAAUCGGCAGUCAGACUGCGAGUGCUAAGAUCCGUAGUCGAAAGGGAAACAGCCCAGACCACCAGCUAAGGUCCCAAAAUAUAUGUUAAGUGGAAAAGGAUGUGGGGUUGCACAGACAACUAGGAUGUUAGCUUAGAAGCAGCUAUUCAUUCAAAGAGUGCGUAAUAGCUCACUAGUCGAGUGACCCUGCGCCGAAAAUGUACCGGGGCUAAAACAUAUUACCGAAGCUGUGGAUGACACAAAAGUGUCAUGGUAGGAGAGCGUUCUAUGUGUGAAGAAGGUGUACCGUGAGGAGCGCUGGAACGCAUAGAAGUGAGAAUGCCGGUAUGAGUAGCGCAAGACAGGUGAGAAUCCUGUCCACCGUAAGACUAAGGUUUCCAGGGGAAGGCUCGUCCGCCCUGGGUUAGUCGGGACCUAAGGAGAGACCGAAAGGUGUAUCCGAUGGACAACAGGUUGAUAUUCCUGUACUAGAGUAUAUAGUGAUGGAGGGACGCAGUAGGCUAACUAAACCAGACGAUUGGAAGUGUCUGGUCAAACAGUGAGGUGUGAUAUGAGUCAAAUGCUUAUAUCUUUAACAUUGAGCUGUGACGAGGAGCGAAGUUUAGUAGCGAAGUUAGUGAUGUCACACUGCCAAGAAAAGCUUCUAGCGAUACAUAUACUCUACCCGUACCGCAAACCGACACAGGUAGUCGAGGCGAGUAGCCUCAGGUGAGCGAGAGAACUCUCGUUAAGGAACUCGGCAAAAUGGCCCCGUAACUUCGGGAGAAGGGGCGCUGAUUUUAGAUCAGCCGCAGUGAAUAGGCCCAAGCAACUGUUUAUCAAAAACACAGCUCUCUGCUAAAUCGUAAGAUGAUGUAUAGGGGGUGACGCCUGCCCGGUGCUGGAAGGUUAAGAGGAGUGCUUAGCGUAAGCGAAGGUAUGAAUUGAAGCCCCAGUAAACGGCGGCCGUAACUAUAACGGUCCUAAGGUAGCGAAAUUCCUUGUCGGGUAAGUUCCGACCCGCACGAAAGGCGUAAUGAUUUGGGCACUGUCUCAACGAGAGACUCGGUGAAAUUUUAGUACCUGUGAAGAUGCAGGUUACCCGCGACAGGACGGAAAGACCCCAUGGAGCUUUACUGCAGUUUGAUAUUGAGUAUCUGUACCACAUGUACAGGAUAGGUAGGAGCCUAUGAUAACGGGACGCCAGUUUCGUUUGAGGCGUUGUUGGGAUACUACCCUUGUGUUAUGGCUACUCUAACCCAGAUAGGCAAUCCCUAUCGGAGACAGUGUCUGACGGGCAGUUUGACUGGGGCGGUCGCCUCCUAAAAGGUAACGGAGGCGCCCAAAGGUUCCCUCAGACUGGUUGGAAAUCAGUCGUAGAGUGUAAAGGUAUAAGGGAGCUUGACUGCGAGAGCUACAACUCGAGCAGGGACGAAAGUCGGGCUUAGUGAUCCGGUGGUUCCGUAUGGAAGGGCCAUCGCUCAACGGAUAAAAGCUACCCUGGGGAUAACAGGCUUAUCUCCCCCAAGAGUUCACAUCGACGGGGAGGUUUGGCACCUCGAUGUCGGCUCGUCGCAUCCUGGGGCUGUAGUCGGUCCCAAGGGUUGGGCUGUUCGCCC